UGACAGAUGGCGUUUAUUCUCAUCAGGCAUCUGACAUUAGAAUCGCUACGAGUCCACCAUUGGGGAAUGGCUACUAAAUGUCCAGAGGGAACGGCCAAGAAACGUGGAUCAGGGAGAGCAUGACAAACACAACAAAACGUCUAAAUGUAGGCCACUAACAAGUGGCCUCGCCGGAGGAAAAGCGCCGGCCGCCGUCCUUCUGGUCCUCGGUGAGACUUCACACCGAUGGUCCCUCAAAACAAACAUUCAGUCUGAUUAGGAUUAUUAGUCAACAUACAUUAGAUUGAAAUUACAACAGCUGCUUCAGACAUUCAGAAGUGACAGCACACAAUCGUGGUUACAUCAGGAGGACGAGCAUCCCCCAAAAGGCCCCGGAAGAGGAGGAGGAGGAGACAGGAUGGGUGUAAAAUGUGAUGGCUGAAGGCCGAAGAAAGAGCGAAACAUUACAUUUAUAUUUACAGACACGGUGCAUAGAUACAGGACUGAGAGGAGGAGGAGGAGGAGGAGAUGAGGAGAAGCCCUGUUCUACAGUUCAAGAAGCUGAGCUACAACGUAGCAGUGAGUGAAGACGAACACUCAGAAGUGAAGUUCAGCACUAAGGGUUAGCCCUAACCCUAAUCCUAACUGUGUUCCUAACCUUAAGUGUGUUCCUAACCUGAACCCUGUUCCUAACAGUGACAUGUGAAGACAUAGCUUUUACAUACAAUGUUCUAUGUGUAGAACAUCCUGAAAACUGCUCACACAGGCUUAAGUUUGUCCUGAAGACAAAGUGCAGUGAAAGAAGUUCAGUUUAAUCAUGUGUUUAGAGCAAAGACAACACGUUAUACAGGUUUGGUCGCUGCAGGAAUAGAAGCAGGAGGACGAAGAGUUAAAGUCUGUGUAACAUUAGUUUGUUUUUCACCAGUUUGUCAAAUCUGAACCAUUAAAAACAUGAAGUUUAAGGUUCUCUGAAACGCUGGAGCGUGGAAGGUGGUGGACAGGAACAUGAAGGCAGCAGCAAAACUAUUUUAGAUUCUUCAGGUUGGAUGUGUGAUGAACAGUGACAUCUAGAGGUGAAUUAGGAGAUUACAACCCCUGGAUCCUCAUCACAGUCCGUGGUUUUGUCUGUUGUGUUUUUCCAGUUUAGGUAUUAACUGAAGGUAUUAAGGUACAGUUAAGGUAAAGUAUUAACUCUGUAAUGCACCAGGAUGACUCUGCUUCACCUGUAGAUGUUAACAUUUCCACAGCUGAAGCAGAUCAACGACAGAUGGAGACCAUCAUCACCGAUGGGUGCACCACAUUUAAAUCCAGAAGAAAAGAAAACACCUGUAUUGUACCAGGUCAUGGUUAGGUUUAGGGUUAGGUUAACCCCAGGGUAAGGUUAACCCCAGGGUAAGGUUAACCCCAGGGUAAGGUUAACCCUAACCGCUGUUAAAAGAGUUGACUGAAACUUCACCGGCCUGUCCAACCAAACUGAAGCUGUUUCAUUUUACCUCAUGGACCACAGACAUGGAAGCCAGUUCAGACCAACAACCCUGAUGGAUGUUAAACACCACAGUCAAUACACUCCCAUCAGAUAAAGUCAUCAUUUUGUCAAAGACGUUUGGAGGCUUUGAAAAGAACAAAAAUCCAAAUGAUCCAGCAGGUCAUGAAUUCAACACAUGAACGAACAUGUUAAAUCAUUAAAGUCCCAAUAAAAGGACUCAAUAAUAAAGGGUUAGCCUACCCUAACCCUAGACCAAUAAGACUCAAUAAUAAAGGGUUAGCCUACCCUAACCCUAACCCUCAAUAAUAAAGGUGCAAUGGACUCCUGUGAUCUUUGAGGUAAAAUGACUGUUUUUGUUGAAGGAAUCUGGAAACUUCAAGAACAUUUACUGACUUUAGUUUGGUUGUAAAGUCUGAUUAUAAGAUAAAACAAUGGAAAUGUUGAAAAUCUCAUUUUUGCUGCUGCUGCUUCCAUCUGUGGCGGUCGAUCAUUGAGCUUCAUCUGCUUUUCCAAACCAAACACAUGUAUGGAAGGUUCAACUUCUGUCCAUUUGUUUCCUGAUUCUGAUUUGUCAGUGAUGGCGUUCCACAGUCUUACAUCUGCGCAAAAGAUGUUCCUAAACCAUGAAGCAGUUUCCAAAAGAAUUUUCAGUCAACUAAAUCAUUAUUUUAUCACAAUUUUUUUUUUUUUUUUUUAUCAGAUUGUGAUUUUCUUUGCAUCUGUGGGAUAAACCCAAUGACCACGUUCAUCAUGAAAUAACCAUUUCUGAUAAAAAGAAAAGACCAAAC